UCUGAGAGAGUUUAUCCCUCUUCUUCCCACUCUAAACCCAGCCCUAAAAUCAUACGAGCUCUUCCACGGCAGCCGACGGACGACGGCCGACAGCUCCUCCUCCACCGCCUUGUGUUCGUUCGCCAUCUCUCUCUCUCUGUUCGCCAUGUCCGGAUCGGACGAUCCAGUGUGCAACUUCUUUCGCAAGGAUCUCACCAACAAGCGAAUUCGCAAACGAAAGAUCAACGAUGAUGAUGAUGAUGAUCAUGGCAGCGAAGACCAGCAGCAGCAGCAGCCCCAAUCGAUGGAAAAGGCCAAGAAACCUUUGCGCGACAACAAGCUUUACUUCUCCAGCUCCAAUACCGAUGGGGCUUCCGGCAAAGACUCCUCACUCUUCCGCUUUGAGUCCUCCAACGAGAUCCAGGUUCACCAUGACAGCCGUGCCACGGCCACCCUCGAGACCGAGACGGAUUUCUCCCGUGAUGCCCGUGCCAUCCGUGAGCGUGUCUUGAAGCAAGCUGAUGAAGCUCUCAAGGGCAAGAGCAAAGGGAAGGGGGAUGAGAAGGUAUACAAGGGGAUCCAUGGAUACACUGAUUACAAGGCCGGGUUUCGGAGAGAACAGACGGUGGCCGGGGAGAAGGCCGGCGGAGCUCAUGGCCCGCUUCGGGCUUCAGCGCACAUCCGAUCUUCAGCGAGGUUUGAUUAUCAGCCGGAUAUUUGCAAGGAUUACAAGGAGACUGGGUACUGUGGGUUUGGGGAUUCUUGCAAGUUCAUGCAUGAUCGCGGUGAUUACAAGUCUGGAUGGCAGCUUGAGAAGGAGUGGGAGGAGUCUGAGAAGGCGAGGAAGAAGGGGUUGGCAAUGGGAGGCGGGGAUGGUGGUGAUGUGGAUGCUGAUGCUGAUGAUGAUGAUGAGGAUGAUGAUGAGUUGCCUUUUGCUUGUUAUAUUUGUCGGCAGCCGUUUCAGGACCCGGUGGUGACCAAGUGCAAGCAUUAUUUUUGUGAGCAUUGUGCUCUAAAGCAUCACUCGAGAAACAAGAAGUGUUUCGUGUGCAACAAACCAACACUUGGCAUCUUCAACACUGCACAUGAAAUCAAGAAGAAGAUUGCAGAACAGAAGGAGAACUUCAGCCAUUGAUGAAGAUUACAAGGAACGGGAUUGAAAUAUUGGAAUUGGGUUCUUAUUCGAUUCUUGUGUUAUGUGAAAAUAUUAUGAAAGUUCAGCUUCAUUGAUUUUUGAAACUCAUAUAAAAAAGGAAAACACCCCAAAUAUGGACCAAUUUUCUUCAUCUGGCUUUGAAAAUGAUGAUGAGACGAGGGCCUUGAUUUCAUUGCUCAAUGCAUUUGGUUCAGUUUGUUCACUUGACUAGGUAGCUGAUGCUUAAUUGCAAAGGGGAGCGAGGUGUGAAUCGAACUGGUGAAAUCCUCUACCAGCUUCAAACAAGUAAAUCUAGUGGUGAAGUUCAGGGCAGCAACAAGGGUUUAGAUCAUCCUGAACCCAUGCAAUAAUUGCAUGGACACACUGCUGUUGAGACCACUCUUCCAGAUAAGAAAUCUAAAGGAAAAUCCAGUAUGGCUCGUGCUUCUUUAGGUACGGUUUCUUCUGUCAUGGGGUGCACAUAUUGUAAGACAACUCCAUCCCUGAAUGAGAUAUCAAAAACUAGCAGACCAUUGAUUGUGGAAAUGAAGGGAUCAAUUGAAGAGGAUCAUGAACUUAAUUGAUCUCAUCACAUCACGUACCACAACUUUGAAAGCAUCCAUUCAUGAUAAGGAUGUUGAGGAGUUUCUUUUCUCAAUGCUUGGAGAUGGUUUUCAGCUAAGAAAGGAUGUCAUCCGAGAAGUUCUUGAGCAUGGAGGAGUUAUUGGCAUUGUCAAACAAAAGCAUGGAACAAGCAGAGGCAUUUGAAUUGUGACACUGCACAAAAUGUUUACAGGUUAAAGCUUGGAGAUAAAAGUUUGUGGCUCGCUAGUCAAAGUGGAAGGCAUGCAAAAA